rnacentral:rRNA from 1 species
UACGUAGGGUGCGAGCAUUAAUCGGAAUUACUGGGCGUAAAGCGUGCGCAGGCGGUUCGCUGUGUCCUGUGUGAAAGCCCCGGGCUUAACCUGGGAAUGGCAUGGGAAACUGGCGGGCUGGAGUGUGGCAGAGGGGGGUGGAAUUCCGCGUGUAGCAGUGAAAUGCGUAGAGGUGCGGAGGAACACCGAUGGCGAAGGCAGCCCCCUGGGCUAACACUGACGCUCAGGCACGAAAGUGCGGGGAUCAAACAGG